AACUUAUCUAUUUCCCUCCUUAUUUUCUCCAGAAACCACGAAGCUCCCAGGCGGCGGCGGCAGAUCCAAUCUCACUUCCAUCGUGCGAGACAAAAAUUGAGGAACACCGGCGGUCGGUCUCGUCCUAGGCAAGGUACCAGAGAAGACACGGGAUUUGGAGGUGAUAUUUCGCAUCAAAACUUGAGAUGGACAACAAGGCAAAGUUUUUAAUUUAUACU